rnacentral:tRNA from 1 species
UGCGGGGUAGCUCAGCGGUAAGAGCGGCGGGCUCAUAACCCGAAGGCCAGUGGUUCAAAUCCACUCCCCGCAACCA